AGAGUUUGAUCAUGGCUCAGAUUGAACGCUGGCGGCAGGCCUAACACAUGCAAGUCGAGCGGUAGCACAGAGAGCUUGCUCUCGGGUGACGAGCGGCGGACGGGUGAGUAAUGUCUGGGAAACUGCCUGAUGGAGGGGGAUAACUACUGGAAACGGUAGCUAAUACCGCAUAAUGUCGCAAGACCAAAGUGGGGGACCUUCGGGCCUCAUGCCAUCAGAUGUGCCCAGAUGGGAUUAGCUAGUAGGUGGGGUAACGGCUCACCUAGGCGACGAUCCCUAGCUGGUCUGAGAGGAUGACCAGCCACACUGGAACUGAGACACGGUCCAGACUCCUACGGGAGGCAGCAGUGGGGAAUAUUGCACAAUGGGCGCAAGCCUGAUGCAGCCAUGCCGCGUGUGUGAAGAAGGCCUUCGGGUUGUAAAGCACUUUCAGCGGGGAGGAAGGCGGUGAGGUUAAUAACCUCAUCGAUUGACGUUACCCGCAGAAGAAGCACCGGCUAACUCCGUGCCAGCAGCCGCGGUAAUACGGAGGGUGCAAGCGUUAAUCGGAAUUACUGGGCGUAAAGCGCACGCAGGCGGUCUGUCAAGUCGGAUGUGAAAUCCCCGGGCUCAACCUGGGAACUGCAUUCGAAACUGGCAGGCUAGAGUCUUGUAGAGGGGGGUAGAAUUCCAGGUGUAGCGGUGAAAUGCGUAGAGA
rnacentral:rRNA from 1 species